CGUAGUGAUAAAGCUAGCAAUCACCUUUUCUGUUUUUCACUAGUACCCAAAAAAAAAAAAAAACCGGAGUCAAUGAUGACUACAGCUCAUCUUCUAACAUUUCUGAAAAUAUAUGUCUUGGAUGUUAAAGUUGUUAACUGAGGAAGUCUUACCUGACUCGAAGUAAAAUAAGCUACACCAGUUUUGAGAAAGUGAAUAGCUUCGUCCAUUAUUCUUUCUCCAAUAAGUCAUAGCGUCCACUCUAUUUCUCUUCAUUUCAGCUGUCCUUAUCCUUAAGAGUGUUUAGCUUUCCGGCAUAUUGAAAAAAGUUGUGCUUUCUGCUUUCUGUAGAAGCCUACUCAUUCUCUGUUUUGCUGAGAAGAAAGAAAAGGCUACUCAUUCUCAUCAAGUGGAGAAAAGCCUUCUUUGUAUUAUUUCUCAUUUGCAAUCCUCCCUAUCUGUAUUUCUUUAUCACCUUCAAUUGUAAACUCCUCUUGUAAGCUCUCGUAGUCUACGAGUUUCCUGCAGAAUAUAUUCAACUGUAAUUUUCAAGUUCCUACAUCUAUCUUCAAAUUGCAUAUCAGGUGGUGCAAGACUUGGGUACCGACUUCGAGUAGUGGAGGCUGGAAUGGAAAACUUUUCUUUAUUAUUUUAUAAAUUUGAAGAUUGUAAAUUUCUGUUCAAAUCUACUUAUGUCUAUGUCAUAUAUUUAUUCUUUAUUAAUUAUUGAGACCACACCUUAUAAGGUUGAGGUUGAGGUUGAGAUU